rnacentral:rRNA from 1 species
GACGAACGCUGGCGGCGUGCUUAACACAUGCAAGUCGAACGGAAAGGCCCCUUUGGGGUUACUCGAGUGGCUAACGGGCGGGUAACACGUGAGUAACCUGCCCUUGACUUCGGUAUAACUUCAUUAAACUGGGGCUAAUACCGACUAGGAAUCCUUGCCGCAUGCUUGGGGUUGGAAAGCUUGGUGGGGUUUGGAUGGACUCGCGGCGUAUUAGUCUGUUGGUGGGGGAGUGGCUGACACAGGCUUUGAUUGGUAGCUGGCCUGUGAGGGCGACAGGCCACAUUGGGGCUGAGAGACGGCGCAGACUCCUACGGGGGGCAGCAGUGGGGAGUAUUGCACAAUGGGCGGGAGACUGAUGCAGAGACGCCGCGCGCGGGAGGACGGGCUUCUGGUUGUAAACAGCGUUCAGCAGGGGCGAAGCUUGUGGUGACGGUAACUGCAGAAGAAGCACCGGCUAACUACGUG